rnacentral:misc_RNA from 1 species
GUUACCAUUUCUUCUGACAAGGGUCUUUGUGGUGGAAUUAAUUCUACCUCAGUCAAGAUAAGCAAGGCUCUACACAAGAUAAAUUCUGGUCCUGAAAAGGAAUCAAAAUAUGUUGUAUUGGGAGAGAAGGCAAAGGCUCAGUUAAUACGUGACUCCAAGAAGCACAUAGAAAUCAUCUUCACUGAGUUGCAGAAGAAUCCUUUGAACUAUACUCAGGUCUCUGUCUUAGCUGAUGAUAUUCUAAAGAACGUAGAAUAUGAUGCUCUGAGGAUUGUUUUCAACAAGUUCCAUUCAGUUGUCUCAUUUCUGCCUACAACAUCUACCGUUCU